rnacentral:lncRNA from 1 species
GGUGAAGAUUGAUCUGGAUGGCCAGAACAGAGCCUGGGUACUACAUACUAAUUGAAUUGUUGAUAAUGGCUGACAAAGCAAUUUCCUGCCAAUCACUUUUACCAUUAACCUCCUCAAGAUGAAUUCUGAAGGAAGCCAAAUAAGAGACAACUCUGGGUUUUGUAAGUCAACCUCUUUUUUUGAUAGAUUCACAUUUGUGCUUUUCUGCCUCCCAGAUAGAAACAAAGGUUAAAAAUGUGAUUGUGGCCUCCGGAAGUUUAAAAGCUGGGCAGAGCGCUGUGGAGACAAAGCCUGCCAUUCAGUUACAUAACUGAUUUUCAUGGAUGGCUUAUGAAAGUCAACAUCAUUAUUUUAUACUUACAUGCUUACCUCAAGAAAAGUACCAGGCGUUCCUAUUUCAAACGGGUUUCCCAAAAGCUCGAAGUUUGGGGAAUCAUAAACUGCUAAUGGAAGUCAAUGGGAAAAUCAUAUUCCUUGCAUGGCCAAUUUUUCCAUAAUGCACUUAGCAAAGUGAAGGAGACAAGUCUAGCAUUUAUGACGACAAGAGACUCACUUAUCUAUUACUUCAGCCUGUUUGGAGACUCCUGGCUGCAGGGAAAAUUCCAGGGUGAACAUAUCUCAAGAUUUAGAAGGAAUCCCACAUUAUAUUUCCAUGGGUUUGGUUUGGGAAAAAUCCCUGUAUGACUUCAGCAAGUCUGUGGCUGUUGGUGGAUCAAAUACAAGGGCCAAUAACUUCUUGCCACUUUAAGAGGAAUCGGAUUGAAAUGUAUGUAGACCUUUGGGAGGUAGGUAAUAAGAAUCACUGAUGCCUCCACAUACCUCUGAGGAUUUUCUCUUCGAUUAAAAUGACAAGAUUCCUUUUUAGCCAAUACAUAAGUAGAAUCUGGUUCAAAGGCUCUCAAACUGCCACCUGCUACUUCAAAAGCUCUUUCAAUUCCCUGAGCAAUUUACUUCAGGGCAAUUGAACUCCUGAGUGUGGUUUCCACCAUUUUCUAACCAGGCUGUCUCUGUGUGAAGGAAGAAUCAGUUUCUGCAGGCAGGUUUUCAGCACAGACCUGUUCAUGUAGGUGUUUGCUAGCCUUUAUAGCUGUGA